GUGUGUGUGUGUGUGUGUGUUUGGGUGUGUACUGACUUAUUCUGCAAUCAGAUCCUGGACACUUGGUAAUGUUUGGCACGUGUUUUGUGCCUGUUUGCGUGUUUGGUGCGUGUUUGGUAUGUGUUUGGUGUGUGUUUGUGUGUUUGGUGUGUGUUUGUGUGUUUGUGUGUUUGGUGUGUGUUUGUGUGUUUGGUGUUUGUUUGUGUGUUUGGUGCGUGUUUGUGUGUUUGGUGUGUGUUUGUGUGUUUGGUGUGUGUUGCGUGUGUGUUUGGUGUGUGUUUGUGUGUUUGGUGCGUGUUUGGUGUGUUUGUGUGU
ensembl:lncRNA